UGCAAGUUGUCAAAUUCUCCUUUGUGUUCUGUCUCAUGGUUAACAAAGUUAUAUUUGCUUGCACGUUCUGGGAAAUUGUUCACUUGUUGUAUGAUACUUCACAUUCUUUACUGACUAUGUUAGCUAGGCAAAAGCAUUGGAAGCUGCUUCUGCUACUGGUUCACUAUCUGCUGCAGAUCAAGCUGAAAUUGAGCAGCUAGAGGGCCGCACCUCUACAUUAAAAAAGGAGCUCGUAGACAAGAACAAGCAACUCAAGCUUCUGAUUGAUCAGCUUCGAGAUCUUCUUUCUGACCUGUCAACAUGGCAAAGUCCCUGUUCUACUUGAAUUUCUGCUGCUAUUACUUCAAGUAGAUAAUUCAAACCAGAGAGAUGUCAGAUGUCAAUGGAAUUGUGUUCAACUCUAAGAAGCUGUUCUUUUGUACAGAGGUUACUGCUAGAAUCCUGUGCUUUUAUGCAACUUAAUGCUGCUCAUGGUGCUACGAUUGUUUCUGUUUAGAUGUUCUGUCUGCUCCGCAAAUGGGCUGAAAAGUUGUACAAUUAAUCUGUUAGAGCGGGAAUACUGAAGGAGGGAAAAGGAGAAUGCUUUUGAUCUUUUAACUUAUUAUAGAAAUAUAGCCGCCCUGUGCACGAAGCAUCCCGUGGUCACCCUGGGUCCGGAAAGGGCCGCACCUAAGGGGUGGGAGGUAUGAGUUGGCAGCCGACCUUGAGCAAACAUCAGAGGUGUAAUGUAGGCAGCUGACCUUGAGCAAACAUUAGAUUUCAUGGCUCGAACUCGUGACCUAAAGGUCAAACGGGCAAUUUUAACCCCUCUUUUGAUCUUAACUUAUUAUACUAAGUUUUAUAUUGAUGUGCACUAUAAUUUUCUCCUCGCAGCUAAUUGUGCCUUGGUUUGCUCUAGUGAUGCGCUUUCUGUCAUUUCCCCAUUAUUCAGAGGCACAGCAAUAGCAUAGAGCUUUCGGAAAAUAAGCUGAUGUACUAUUGGUCUUUUUUUUUUUUUUUUU